rnacentral:tRNA from 1 species
GGGGAUAUGACUUAGUGGUAAAGUGCUUGUCUAUUAUGCAUGAAGCCCUGGGUUCAAUUCCCCAGCACCA